UUCCGACUGACGAGUCCCGGAUAGGACGAAACACGUUUUGUCCUGGAU
rfam:Schistosoma curassoni strain Dakar, Senegal genome assembly, scaffold: SCTD_scaffold0012363